GCUGGACGCGGUGGCACGCGCCUGUAGGCCCAGCUACUCGGGAGGCUGAGGCAGGAGGAUCGCUUGAGCCCAGGCGUUCUGGGCUAUAGCGUGCUAUGCCGAUCCGGUGUGCGCAGUAAGUUUGGCAUCAAUAUGGUGACCUCCCGGGAGCAGGGGACCAGCAGGAUGCCUAAGGAGGGGUGAACCGGCCCAGGUCAGAAACGGAGCAGGUCAAAAGAGACCCAUGAAGACUGACCUGGGUAAUGGAAUAUGAAUUUACAAUGAAUUAAAAGUAGGACUCAGGGCUCCUGGAUUGUUCAGUAAGUUAAGCAUUCA
rnacentral:SRP_RNA from 1 species